GACGAACGCUGGCGGCGUGCUUAACACAUGCAAGUCGAACGGAAAGGCUCCAGCUUGCUGGAGUACUCGAGUGGCGAACGGGUGAGUAACACGUGGGUAAUCUGCCCUGCACGCUGGGAUAAGCCUGGGAAACUGGGUCUAAUACUGGAUAUGACCUUUCUCCUUAUGGGGUUUGGUGGAAAGUUUUUCGGUGUAGGAUGAGCCCGCGGCCUAUCAGCUUGUUGGUGGGGUGAUGGCCUACCAAGGCGACGACGGGUAGCCGGCCUGAGAGGGUGAUCGGCCACAUUGGGACUGAGAUACGGCCCAGACUCCUACGGGAGGCAGCAGUGGGGAAUAUUGCACAAUGGGCGGAAGCCUGAUGCAGCGACGCCGCGUGAGGGAUGACGGCCUUCGGGUUGUAAACCUCUUUCAGCAGGGACGAAGCGUAAGUGACGGUACCUGCAGAAGAAGCACCGGCUAACUAUGUG
rnacentral:rRNA from 1 species